UUCCUACGGGAGGCAGCAGUGGGGAAUAUUGGACAAUGGGGGCAACCCUGAUCCAGCGAUGCCGCGUGUGUGAAGAAGGCCUUCGGGUUGUAAAGCACUUUCGGUGGGGACGAACAGGGCGGAGCUAACAUCUCCGCCUCUGACGGUACCCAAAGAAGAAGCACCGGCUAACUCUGUGCCAGCAGCCGCGGUAAUACAGAGGGUGCAAGCGUUAAUCGGAAUUACUGGGCGUAAAGCGUGCGUAGGUGGUUUGAUAAGUCAGAUGUGAAAGCCCCGGGCUCAACCUGGGAACUGCAUUUGAUACUGCGAACUCGAGUUCGGUAGAGGGUAGUAGAAUUCCCGGUGUAGCGGUGAAAUGCGUAGAUAUCGGGAGGAAUACCA
rnacentral:rRNA from 1 species